CUAAAAUUCCUAAACCAAAACCUAAUCAUCCUCACCCUAGCCGUCACUCUCCCUCCCACACUUUGUUAUUUCUUUCUUUUACUUUUAGUAGUCGGCAAUUCAAGGCUGCGAGAAAGACAAAAGGAUCAACAAGAGUGUAUCCCCAUUGCGAUCUUCAUUUAUGGAUAGAAAGUUUAAUUUCUUGGUUCGUCUCUUCCCCGUCUAGUUUGAAGAGGGCUUCAUAUAUUCUUGGAUUCAUAAAGAUCAACAGCUGCGAUGAGAGUGGUAAUAUAAAGCAUCAAGAUCAAACGGGGGUGACAACACGAAUCAUAAAGCAAAUGCUUAUAUUCGUUUAUAUGGAAUAUCGUACAUUAUUUCAGAUCUCUAUUACCAUAAAGCCUCACAUCGGCUAGUUCUUUUCGUCAAAUUUUAGUUACUAUAAAAGAGUUAUGUACUGCAGAUGCUAUUAAUUGAUUAAUAUAAAUGUGUAUCUUAGAAUUU